GUGUCAGCCGCCGCGGUAAUACGUAGGGGGCAAGCGUUGUCCGGAUUUAUUGGGCGUAAAGAGCUCGUAGGCGGUUCGACAAGCCGACGGUGAAAUCUCCACGCUCAACGUGGAGGGGUCCGUCGGAACUGUCGUGACUCGAGUCCGGUAGGGGAGUGUGGAAUUCCCGGUGUAGCGGUGAAAUGCGCAGAGAUCGGGAGGAACACCCGUAGCGAAGGCGGCACUCUGGGCCGGUACUGACGCUGAGGAGCGAAAGCGUGGGGAGCAAACAGGAUUAGAAACCCCCGUAGUCC
rnacentral:rRNA from 1 species